rnacentral:rRNA from 1 species
CGGAGGAUCCAAGCGUUAUCCGGAAUCAUUGGGUUUAAAGGGUCCGUAGGCGGUUUUAUAAGUCAGUGGUGAAAUCCGGUAGCUCAACUAUCGAACUGCCAUUGAUACUGUAGAACUUGAAUUAUUGUGAAGUAACUAGAAUAUGUAGUGUAGCGGUGAAAUGCUUAGAUAUUACAUGGAAUACCAAUUGCGAAGGCAGGUUACUAACAAUACAUUGACGCUGAUGGACGAAAGCGUGGGGAGCGAACAGGAUUAGAUACCCUGGUAGUCCACGCCGUAAACGAUGGAUACUAGCUGUUCGAGAGCAAUCUUGAGUGGCUAAGCGAAAGUGAUAAGUAUCCCACCUGGGGAGUACGAACGCAAGUUUUG